rnacentral:rRNA from 1 species
CGGGGGUAGAGCACUGUUUCGGCUAGGGGGUCAUCCCGCCUUACCAACACGCUGCAAACUACGAAUACCGAAGAAUGUAAUCACGGGAGACACACGGCGGGUGCUAACGUCCGUCGAGAAGAGGGAAACAACCCAGACCGCCAGCUAAGGUCCCAAAGUCAUGGUUAAGUGGGAUACGAUGUGGGAAGGCACAGACAGCCAGGAUGUUGGCUUAGAAGCAGCCAUCAUUUAAAGAAAGCGUAAUAGCUCACUGGUCGAGUCGGCCUGCGCGGAAGAUGUAACGGGGCUAAACCAUGC